AAUAAUCCGAACAAUGUACAGACGCGAACCGCCUGAGUAUUUUUUAGCAUUCAACCUGUAACUUGAGGCAAUUUGGCAGCUUUAAUCAGUAUUGCGGUACACGGAUCCCUCCCCCUCUCCAUUUAGCGCGAGGGUUAUGUAUUUUGGUGAAGCGAUGGCUCUAAUUGGGGUUUAUUUUAUGCAAGUAAUCAGGCCAUCACGAGCCAUCAAGAGAACUGGGGGGAAGACACAGAUACAUCAAUAGAACUGGGAGGGGGGGAAGACACAGAUACAUCAAGAGAACUGAGGGGAAGACACAGAUACAUCAAGAGAACUGGGAGGAGCAAGACACAGAGACAUCAAGAGAACUGGGGGGGGGGGAGACACAGAGACAUCAAGAGAGCUAGGAGGCUCAGCUACGCCUCUACUGGUUAUUUCCUUAGAUUUUUAAGAAAACAAUAGGGCAUGUUCCCCCUACAAGCGGUACGGCACUGAAACAGUGUCAGUACCGCACAUAGCAAAAAAUUUAGCUCGCAAGCUAAGUAUUUUAUUGGUCGAUCAAAAUGGUCUUGCAAUGAAUUAUUUAUUCCAAAUUUUCUUCGUUUUUAACUACUCAUUACUAACAACACGAUGGGAGGGCUUUUAAACUUUUGCAUUUGUAAUGUAUCUAUUUUUAUAUCUAACUUGUUUCUCCUAGACUAAUGUAGCAAGCGUGUCUGGUGGCUUAUGAGACAGAUAACAGAAACCCACUUCCUUUUCGUUUUAUCGCUAUCGCGGGAAGCAUUUGCUACGCCAACAGAGUCUCGCCGUCGGCUAUGCUUUUACUUUCGAUGAAAAUCUCCCCAAAGCUGGCGCUAGCACCAAGGCUUAAUCUUUCGCAGUGAUUCUUCAGGUGUUCAUCACAAUAUAAUCGACUUUGUUUAAUUUUACAUCUGUUAAACAUACAUUAAAGACGUUGGUCGUUUUA